GACGAACCGUGCAACCGUUAUUCGGAAUCACUGGGCUUAAAGCGCGUGUAGGCGGGACGGCACGUCGGUCGUUGAAAUCCCCCGGCUCAACCGGGGAAUGGGCGCCGAUACGACCGUCCUGGAGGAACGUAGGGGGACCUGGAACUUCCGGUGGAGCGGUGAAAUGCGUAGAGAUCCGGAGGAACACCGACGGCGCAGGCAGCGUCCUGGCCGCUUGCUGACACUGAGGCACGAAAGCUGGGGGAGCAAACAGG
rnacentral:rRNA from 1 species